rnacentral:rRNA from 1 species
UACGUAGGGUGCAAGCGUUGUCCGGAAUUAUUGGGCGUAAAGAGCUCGUAGGCGGUUUGUCGCGUCGAAUGUGAAAUCCCGGGGCUCAACCCCGGGCCUGCAUUCGAUACGGGCAGACUAGAGUUCGGUAGGGGAGUCUGGAAUUCCUGGUGUAGCGGUGAAAUGCGCAGAUAUCAGGAGGAACACCGGUGGCGAAGGCGGUUCUCUGGGCAUGACCUGACGCUGAGGAGCGAAAGUGUGGGGAGCGAACAGG